GUCUGGAUGGUGUAGUUGGUUAUCACGGUUAGUCCACUGAUCCGAAGGCCGCGAGUUCGAGUCUCGCUCUGGACA
rnacentral:tRNA from 1 species